GUAUCGGUGGUUCAGCUGUAGAAUGCUCGCCUACCACGCAAGCGACCCGGGUUCGAUUUCUGGCCCAAACA